rnacentral:misc_RNA from 1 species
GGCCACAGUCACUUUUGAAAUGUCAAAAUAACUCUCUCGAUGCCAAAUAACUGUUGUUUUAAUAAUAUUUUUACAAUAAUGCUUUGUUAAACGCAUUGAGAUUGAGUUUUUCGCGUAAUUUUGUCAUUAAAUUCAUUUUAUCACAACUCCAUCUGGAAAAACAUUCGCAAUGUUCAAUAACUACACAUACUCCCGACAUUACCAAGUAAAGAACGGCUACCGUUGGAAAUGCUCGAAGCAGUUCUCUCAAUCCUGUCGAGCCUUCUUGGUCAUCAGCGAUAAUGGUUUCUUAAUAAAGAAUUUUUCCGUACAUUGCCAUGGACCUUCCAAGUUCCAUUGUAGCAGUGAUGGCAGUUACAUUAAAAUUUAGUUAAUAAUUAUUAGAAAUUAAAAUGAAUCUCAUCUUAUCUCGACUAUUUAAUUCUAAAAUAAUAUAAAAUAAAAGCAUCUUUAGUAAAACAUUAUCAACUUGGUUUUGAUUGUCUUAGAUCUCUCAUUUUACUUACAGUUACAACUAGACUUUUUAAUGCUCUGAUAGAUAUUUUGAGAAAUAUUGACCAAAACUUUAAUAUUAUUAUUAAACUCAAAAAAAAUAAGAAUGAAUUUUAUAUUAAUGUAUUAUUAUUCAUGUUAAUCUAUUAUUGUAUAUUUGAUAAGAAAGACGUAAAGGUAAAAAACAGGACGUGGAAAGAAACAAGACAAAGAAGGUAAGAUAAAUAAUUUCAUCAUUGUUAAAUUUAUGUACACUGAUGUAACUUUGUAUAAAAUUUUCAGUUUUACUGGUUAAGGGUCGAAAUGGAAAAGAUCUCCUAAUGUUGAAUGGAUACACAUAUUAUCAGCAUAAACUUCUGCGCGACGGUUUUCGGUGGAGCUGCACUCAGAUGGGUUCCAGAUCUUGUAGAGGUUUUCUGCACGUCACGAAGAAAAUGUUAGUUGUUAGAGCUCAGACUGAGCACACUCAUCCACCGUCCACAUAUUUUUUAGAAUACAUCAAAAACCAGUCUUCAAAAGAGGACGAUAUCAGAAAAAGUGCUUCUGAAAAAGACGCUUCCAAUUUAUCGUUAAAAAUUGCAAGCAUACACAGCCGUGUUGGAUUUUAGUAAAAUUUUUAUGUCUUAUCGUUGGAAUUUUAUCUUCGCCCCAAUGGACGGAUUAACUUACGCCUGAAUAACUUCACAUUUUACAAGCACUUGAAGGCAAGAAGCAACGCUCACAGAUGGAGCUGCACCGCUUAUGGUUCGAAAUGGAAAUGCAAGGCGCAUCUUAUAAUCACAGAUAAGUUGGAAGUUCUGAAAGCAAACGUAUCACACAGUCAUCCGCCAAGCGUCAAGAAAGAAACACGACAGCAAAUUAAUCAAAAUCUUACCUGGAAUGGUACCGGAUAUAAUAAAGAGAAUGGUACACCAGUUCUACCUCCAGAACCGCCUUCUAUUACGCCUCUGCAUGAUUAUUUAGUUGCACACAGUGUGUUUAGCAACUAUUAAUCGCGUAGAAGUUGUGUACGUUGUGACGUACUGGUCACUUGGCUGGUUUUUAUAUUUUUUAAUUAUUAUCAGAUUGAUUUUAUUUCUUAACAUGUUUGUAAUACUAACUAUAAAUUUUUCUUUGAUAAACUAAAUGUCAGGUGUUCGUGAUAAUUUUAUUGGUAUAUUUUAAUAAUAAGACUAAAGAACGCUGUUCUAAGAAUACUAAUAAGGCCUAAUUUAGUGUGCUUAUGUAACCAGUAUACUAAUAAAGUAAUAGUUCGCUUAGUGUUGCUCUAAUAUUAAGUAAUAAUAGCAUAUCAUAUUGCUGAUUUUUUUUGUUUUUGAUGUAUUAUUAAGUCACAAUUAACGUUAUUUUUCCGAGAAUAGUAUUUAGUACAUAAGGGGCCUGUUUCAUCGGUUGUGGGUAACGCUCUUUGACGGAAGACGCCAUCGAAUUCAUCCAUAUUUAAGAAAUGUUUCUUUUAGCAAAUAUAUAUAAUAUCUAAAAUUGUAGUUUUUAAAUGAGGAUAAAUGAGGCCUUAUUACCUAUUUUACCUUCAUCUGUUGAAGUCGAUUCGUAACUCAUGUGCAGGAUAAUCAUAAAUCGCAACUAAAGAAAUAGGCCCUGUGUACGCUUUUUUUUUAAUGUACAGCUACAAAAUCGUAGCGGCAUAAUAACAUACUCGUAAGAUUGAUGAAUGACACGGGUAGAUAAAAAAUAUAUGUGUAUCACAAUUUUAAUUCAAUACAAUUCAGCAUAUUGAAAUUUGUGUCAAGUGCCUUAGUUUUAGUUCCAUAGGGUAUUCACUGACUUUAGUUUUAAGAUAUAUUUUUUUUUUUAAUUAUACGUGUGAUAAUUUUUAAUUUUGUGACGUGUCCAGUAUUAAGUAUUGUGAUACAAUGGUAAUAUUAAUGUUUUUAAGACUGCGUGUGUAAUAUGUGAUAAUCAUGUAUCUCAAUGAUUAGAUCUCGUUUUAUUUUUACAGGUGUACUGAUUAUAAUUUCGUGCAUUUAUUCAACUAAUAAGGUCUAUUUUUAUACCUACUAUACCUAUCUAUAUAUGUUAGUAUAGUGACGUACGCUGAAGCUUCUUCGUGUUUUGGCAUUUUAACGCAUUUAAUAAAGUAUUUUAUACUAAAAAUAA